GACGAACGCUGGCGGCGUGCUUAACACAUGCAAGUCGAACGGAAAGGCCCUGCUUUUGUGGGGUGCUCGAGUGGCGAACGGGUGAGUAACACGUGAGUAACCUGCCCUUGACUUUGGGAUAACUUCAGGAAACUGGGGCUAAUAUCGUAUAGGAGCUCCUGCUGCAUGGUGGGGGUUGGAAAGUUUCGGCGGUUGGGGAUGGACUCGCGGCUUAUCAGCUUGUUGGUGGGGUAGCGGCUUACCAAGGCUUUGACGGGUAGCCGGCCUGAGAGGGUGACCGGCCACAUUGGGACUGAGAUACGGCCCAGACUCCUACGGGAGGCAGCAGUGGGGAAUAUUGCACAAUGGGCGGAAGCCUGAUGCAGCAACGCCGCGUGCGGGAUGACGGCCUUCGGGUUGUAAACCGCUUUCGCCUGUGACGAAGAGUGAGUGACGGUAAUGGGUAAAGAAGCACCGGCUAACUACGUG
rnacentral:rRNA from 1 species